UUCGCAAUGCCCGAAAGGGUGACGAAGCGACGCCGCGUGGGUGAGGAAGGCCCUCGGGUUGUAAAGCCCUGUCAGGAGUUAAGAAAUGUAGGUACGCUAAUAUCGUAUCUAUUUGACAAAGGCUCCAAAGGAAGCCACGGCUAACUCUGUGCCAGCAGCCGCGGUAAUACAGAGGUGGCAAGCGUUGUUCGGAAUUAUUGGGCGUAAAGAGCACGUAGGUGGAUUUGUAAGUCAGAUGUGAAAGCCUUCUGUUCAACGGGAGAAUUGCAUCUGAAACUACAAACCUUGAGUAUAGGAGGGGAGAAUGGAACUUCUGGUGGAGCGGUGAAAUGCGUAGAUAUCAGAAGGAACGCCGGCGGCGAAAGCGAUUCUCUGGCCUAUUACUGACACUCAGUGUGCGAAAGCUAGGGGAGCAAACGGGAUUAGAUACCCCGGUAGUCCUAGCCGUAAACGAUGGGCACUAAGUAGAGGGGUUUU
rnacentral:rRNA from 2 species